rnacentral:rRNA from 1 species
GUCACUAACUAUCGACUGACGCUGAUGGACGAAAGCGUGGGGAGCGAACGGGAUUAGAUACCCCGGUAGUCCACGCCGUAAACGAUGGAUACUAGCUGUCCGCUGCCUUGAGCAGUGGGCGGCCCAGCGAAAGUGAUAAGUAUCCCACCUGGGGAGUACGUUCGCAAGAAUGAAACUCAAAGGAAUUGACGGGGGCCCGCACAAGCGGUGGAGCAUGUGGUUUAAUUCGAUGAUACGCGAGGAACCUUACCAGGGCUUAAAUGCAUAAUGACAGGUCUAGAGAUAGACUUUUCUUCGGACAUUUUGCAAGGUGCUGCAUGGUUGUCGUCAGCUCGUGCCGUGAGGUGUCAGGUUAAGUCCUAUAACGAGCGCAACCCCUGCCGUCAGUUGCCAGCAAGUAAAGUUGGGGACUCUGACGGGACUGCCGGUGCAAACCGCGAGGAAGGUGGGGACGACGUCAAAUCAUCACGGCCCUUACGUCCUGGGCUACACACGUGCUACAAUGGCCGGUACAGCGAGCAGCCACUCCGCAAGGAGGAGCGAAUCUAUAAAACCGGUCACAGUUCGGAUCGGGGUCUGCAACUCGACCCCGUGAAGCUGGAAUCGCUAGUAAUCGGAUAUCAGCCAUGAUCCGGUGAAUACGUUCCCGGGCCUUGUACACACCGCCCGUCAAGCCAUGGAAGCCGGGAGUGCCUGAAGUCCGUCACCGUAAGGAGCGGCCUAGGGCAAAAUCGGUAACUAGGGCUAAGUCGUAACAAGGUAACCGUA